rnacentral:tRNA from 1 species
GGAGGAUUGGCCGAGUGGGAAGGCACCGGCUCACUGAGCCGAGGUCGGGCCGGAAGGCCCGCGCACGUUCGAUCCGUGCAUCCUCCG